rnacentral:rRNA from 1 species
UACGGGGGGGGGCAAGCGUUGUUCGGAAUUACUGGGCGUAAAGGGCUCGUAGGUGGCCAACUAAGUCAUACGUGAAAUCCCUCGGCUUAACCGGGGAACUGCGUCUGAUACUGGAUGGCUUGAGGUUGGGAGAGGAGAGUGGAAUUCCACGUGUAGCGGUGAAAUGCGUAGAGAUGUGGAGGAACACCAGUGGCGAAGGCGACUCUCUGGUCUGUAACUGACGCUGAGGCGCGAAAGCGUGGGGAGCAAACAGG